CCUCACUUCCUCGCGUGCCCCUUUCUGCUACCUUUGUCCUCCCCUGGCCCGAGGAAAUGAAAUGAACGAAGACCCCUAGCCACACAGGAGCUGUUUAGGCAGUUAGCAGUUUUUUAAAGCUAUCAGUUGAUGUGGUAGGACCUUCCAGAGAAACGAAACCAACAAGCACAUGUGUGUAUGCAUGGACACAUCUGCAUGCACACACACAUCACGGGAAGUCACCUGGAGUUGUCCAUGCAGUGUUGGAGGUCUGUCUGCAUGCUGGAGGACUUGGAGAACUGAUGAUGAGGUUGGGAUCUGAGUGGAGAAGAUGGCUGAUGCAGUGUGACACAGAGAGGAGGAGUGCUCUUUCCUUCUGCCGUCUGCUCUCUGGGCUGUCCGUGGGUUUCAGGAGGCCCUCCAGGAUGUGUGGAUUAUCCUCCUUCCUCAGUCCUCUGCCCUAGAACACUUCUGCAGCCGUUCCUCAGGAACAGCGCUUAACCAGGAGUUUGGCCAUCUAUGGCUAGGUCAUGUGACAUGGAAAUAUUAACAGUCACACGUCUAUGAUAACCUUGGCACUCAUGCCUGUUUUUCACAUGAUACUCAUAGUCUGAAUAGACACAGGAACACAGGGUUAAUUCCUCCUGGAUUGACACAAUUAUCCAGAACCCAGUACAAAUGCUCCAACCUCUCCCGAGAAGAGGAGGUGAAAUCCUCAAGUGCUGUGGACUCUUUUGUUUAAUGUGCCACUGUGUAAGGACCACGGUGUAACUGACCAACACGUAGAUAUGGUCACGUGCUUGUGUGUCGCUACCCUGGAACAUGGAGGACUCUGCACCCUGGUGAGACUUGUCCUUCCUGGUUUCCUCAUCUGGGGAAGGACUUCCUGUGUUCAUACCUCAUAGGAGUAAAUGAGAAGCACACAACAUUUUCCCGCAUCCACGAGGUACAGCCAAAGACCCUAGAGCAAACUGCAGCCCCUAUGAUGAUACUGAGGCUCUAGGCUCUCUCUACAUGUAUGUGUACUGUAUGUGCAUAUAUAACAUAUAUGAAUAUAUUAUACGUCAUCUGCAUCUAUAACUCUACCUCUAUGUAUAUCACUCAAAUGCAUAUCUAUAUCAUCUAUACUCAUAUAUGUAUCGAUUUGCUAUUUUUACUUCUUUUCCCAUUUCCGUGUGUAUGGUAUGCAUGCAUGAUUGCAUGUACGUAGGAGUACUUGUGUGGAGGCCACUCUGCCUUCCCCACCACAGCACACUGUAUCCUUUCCAACUGUGAGCCAGAUAAAGGCCUUCUUCCCUGAAGUUGCUUCGUGUCAAAUACUUGGUUGCCGCAAGAGUACCACCACACAAGCCCAGCUAUCACGCGGUCUAACUUACCAGUCA